rnacentral:rRNA from 1 species
UACGUAGGGUGCGAGCGUUGUCCGGAUUUAUUGGGCGUAAAGCGCGUGUAGGCGGCCAGAUAGGUCUGCUGUGAAAACUCGAGGCUCAACCUCGAGCUGUCGGCGGAAACCAUCUGGCUAGAGUCCGGAAGAGGAGAGUGGAAUUCCUGGUGUAGCGGUGAAAUGCGCAGAUAUCAGGAAGAACACCUAUGGCGAAGGCAGCUCUCUGGGACGGUACUGACGCUGAGACGCGAAAGCGUGGGGAGCGAACAGG